rnacentral:snRNA from 1 species
GUGCUUACUUCAGCAGCACAUAUACUACAAUUGGAAUGAUACAGAGAUUAGCAUGGGCCCUGUGCAAGGAUGACACGCAAAUUUGUGAAGUGUUCCAUAUCAAA